GCGGGCCCACUCUGUUCCUUGCUGCUCACUCCAGCCUGGAACUUUUUUCGCCUGCUAUAUGAACACGCAGAAUGUAACUUUUCUUACUGGCUUUGCAAAUAAGCUGGUAUUAUUAUGUUCUGCCACAUUUCU
ensembl:snoRNA small nucleolar RNA SNORA77